AAGAUGAAGGCCGCAUGCGCCUAGCCGCGCCUGAGAGCGAGGCUGGGGGAGUUCUGUGGCUGAGUGCGCGUGCGUAUGCGCUCAACCUUUCAUAUAAGAUGAUGGAAGGAAAUGAGGAUUCUAUUGAAGACCAUCUCACUGCUUAUGCAAUUCAGCUUAGUAUUCAAGAAUCAAUUGAAGCCAGCCAACCAACAACUUCCCAUUACCAUGAAAGAUUUGUACCACCCAGUGAUCAAAAUAGGAAACUUAUAACAGCCAUAAGACAAGGCCAAGUAUUUGAUCUUCAGAACUAUGUGAAACAUAAGUAUGCUUUGGAUGAAGCUGAUGAAAGAGGUUGGUUUCCACUUCAUGAGGCUGCAGCUCAGCCAAUUCAGCAAAUACUUGAAAUCAUUCUGGAUGCAUCUUAUAAAUCAAUGUGGGAAUACAAAACAUGUGAUGGAGAAACACCGUUAACUUUGGCAGCAAAAGCUGGUUUUGUGGAAAAUGUAAGAACAUUAUUGGAAAAGGGUGUUUGGCCUAAUACCACAAACAAUAAAGGAGAAACUCCUCUUCUCAUUGCUGUGAGACGGGGCUCUUACGAAAUGGUAUUGGCUCUGAUUAAAUACAACUGUCGUAUCCACCAGCCGUGUGUAAAACGCUGGUCAGCAAUGCAUGAAGCUGCAAAACAAGGCUGCAAAGAGAUUGUUUCUCUGCUUCUGAAGAAUGGAGGAAAUGUGCACCUGAAAGAUGGUUAUGGGGUAACGCCAUUAGGAGUUGCUGCUGAAUAUGGACACUGUGAUGUGCUGGAGCAUCUUAUUCAUAAAGGUGGUGAUGUUCAUGCUUUAGCAGAUGAUGGUGCAUCAGUACUGUUUGAAGCAGCUGGAGGAGGUAAUCCAGACUGUAUAGCUCUUCUUUUGGAAUAUGGAGGAAGUGGUAAUGUGCCUAAUAGGGCAGGACAGCUCCCUGUACACAAAGCAGCCUAUGAAGGACAUUAUCUGUCAUUGAAAUAUCUAAUUCCUGUUACAUCCAAGACUGCAAUCCAGAGAAGUGGAUUAAGCCCCAUUCACUCAGCAGCAGAUGGCCAGAAUGUGCAGUGUCUAGAACUCCUCAUUGAAAACGAUUUUGAUGUCAAUACUCUCCUGGCUGAACACAUUUCUGAAAACUACGAUGAUGAAAGGAAAACGGCACUCUAUUUUGCUGUUUCUAACAAUGACAUUCUCUGCACAGAAGUGUUACUCAAAGCUGGUGCAGACCCAAACAAGGAUCCUCUAAAUUGUCUUCUUGUAGCAGUGAGAGCUGGUAACCAUGAAAUCGUACGAUUGCUUCUAUCAUAUGGAGCAAAUGUCAAUUGCUACUUCAUGCUCGUGAAUGACACCCAUUUCCCCAGUGCCAUUCAGUACGCUUUGAAUGAUGAGGUAAUGCUAAGGCUGUUGUUGAAUCAUGGAUAUAAUGCAGAGAGGUGUUUUGAUUGCAUGCAUGGCGACAUCUUUGGAAGUUCUUUUGUGUGGUCACUUCCAGAAGAGGAGGUAUUACCAGGAUGGACAUCUUGUGUAAUAAAAGAUACUCCAUUCUGUGCCUUUAUUACAGUUCCUUGGUUGAAACAUUUAGUUGGACAUGUGAUUCGCAUUUUGAUAGACUAUAUGGAUUAUGUUCCUUUGUGCUCAAAACUAAAGUGUGUCCUAGAAGCACAGAAAGAAUGGCCAGAGAUACAACAGAUAUUAGAGAAUCCUAGCCCAUUAAAACAUUUGUGCCGCCUGAAAAUACGUCAACUGAUGGGACUAAGGAGACUACGGAGACAAGCAUCAAUGGCGAAGCUUCCUCUUCCACCAGUUCUAAAGGACUAUAUCCUAUAUAAAGAAUAUGAUCUUUAUGGAAAGGGGCUAAAUUUAGCCUAGAUUUAAAACAGCCAUUUAAAACUUGUAAAUUAAUUCUUUAGAUUUUUUUGCUAGAUUAAGAAUUAUUUAGUAUUGUUAUAUGUACUCAAAACAUUUGAUAUUUGCUGUAAAUAGGCCUUUUAUGGGAACCUGUUAAAAAAAAAUGUGGUCUGUAAAACUCAAUUUGUUUUGUCUGUUUUUACUUAACAUUGUGUCUUGAUAGUCUAAGAGCAUGGAGAAGGAGAUGAUUGUCAUUGUGCAACCCAAAACCUCCAGGAUUGGAUUUUAGAUGUAAAGAAGUCAAACACAGCAAUCAUCCUUUAAAUCAUACUGUAAAGCUUCAGGGGAAAGAUAUUAUGGCUUAGCCUUCUAUGGCUUUGGUAUUCUUUGGCAACAAUUGUGCAUGUCAGUGAAGUUCACUGUUAAGUCUGACAGCUACCCAAAAUAUUGCAAGCCCAGAGUUGUGCCUUUUGCUCAAAAGCCUCUGGUAGAAAUCGAUUUGGACUGUUUAGUGAACAUUGGAGUCUUGUCACCAGUUUCACACAGUGAGUGGGCUACAGCCAUCAUACCAAUGAUCAAGAAGGAUGGCUCAGUCUGAAUUUGUGGUGAUUUCAAAGUGACAUUGAAUCCAGUUUUAUGUGCAGACCAGGUUGACCACUACCUUGUAUUGAAGAUUUGUUUGCUAAUCUUAGUGGUGGACAGUGUUUCAAUAAAUUGGAUUUGCUCAAUGCAUAUCUACAAAUGGAGAUUGAUCUGGCAUCUCAUAAAUAUAUCUCAAUCAACAUGCAAAAAGGCUUAUUUUGUUACAACAGUUUGCCUUUUGGUACCCGUAGGCACCUGCCCUGUUCCAGAAAACCAUGGAUGAGAUUGUGAAGGGACUGAAUGGAGUUCAAAGUGCUAUUUGGAUGAAAUCCUUGUUACAGGAAAGGAUCAAGAGGAUCAUUGUCAGAAUUUGGAUGCUGUCUUGUAAGGUUUGGAAGACCAUGGACUGAGAAUACAUCGAGACAACUGUGAGUUUUUCACACCUUCACUUGGAUACCUUGGACAUAUAAUUGAUGUCAAAGGCUUAAGGAAAUUGCCAGAAAAAGAGAAGGCAGUUCUUCAAGCACCCCUGCCAGAGAAUGUGUCAUGGUUACACUCAUUCUUAGGACUACUUAACUCUUAUGGUAAAUGUCUGACUAAUCUGGCAACAGUAUUGGCCUUACAUGACCUGUUACAAGCAAAGAAAAAAUGGAAAUGGACUGAAGAGUGUGAGCAUGCAUUUAAAUUAGCUAAGAAAUUGUUGAUGUGAGCGAAAGUUCUUAUGGACUUUGAUGUUUUGUAGCCACUGCUACUGGCUUGUGAUGCUUCACAGUAUGAAGUGGGUGCAAUUCUUUCCCACUUUCUUCCUGAUGGCAUGGAGAAACCAAUUGCCUUCACUUCACAAACAACUCAUUAUACCUGAGAAGAAAUAUGUGUAAAUAGAGCGAGAAUUUCUCAGCAUUAUCUUCAGAAUUCAGAAGUUCCAUGCCUAUCUGUAUGAUAGACAUUUUACCUUGCUGAUGGAUCAAUGGCCAUUACUUUCAAUUUUUGGAUGGAAACAGAAUUCUGUCAUUAGCUGCUGCUCAUAUGCAACAAUGGGCAUUGCUACUUUCAGCUCUUUCCUAUACUCUUCAAUUCAGUAAAGGAACUCAGCAUGGCAAUGCUGAUGGGCUGUGAUGACUGCCAUGCCUGCAUUGCCAUCAACUCAAAGAAACUUCAGACAAAAUGUUUUUUCUCAAUUUGAUGGAUAGGUUACCCAUCAUUGGCACAGAUAUCAACAAAGAAACCACUAAGGAUGAUAUGCCUUCUCUUGUGAAGGAAGUGGUACUACAAGGUAGUGUUGGAUCAAAAAAACUCCCAGUGUGCACAAUUCUUGUCACAUCAAUGUGAAUUGUCUGUGAAUCACGGUUGCAUAUAAUGAAGAGUGCAAGUGAUCAUUCCAAGAUCACUCCAAUCUCUGGUUUUGGAAGCUCUUCAAAAGAACAUUUUGGCAUUGUGUAGAUAAAGGCCAUAGCCCGGAGUCAUGUCUAUGGCCGGGGAUUGACAAAGAUAUUGAGAGAAAGGCAAAGUGCUGUAUUAUGUGUCAACAAAUUCAACAUAAUCCUGGACCAUCUUAUCUACGCCCUUGGUCAUGGCCUCAGAUUCCUUGGACAUGUAUUCACAUGGACUUUGCCAGACCUUUGAAAGGUUAUAUGGUUUGGGGUUGUAGUCAACACCUAUUUGAAAUGGCCAGAAAUUUUCAGGAUGACUUCUACUACAGUUACCAAGACCAUUAGACAUAUUAGUACCUUGUUUAGCUAAUUUGGUUUACUGUUACAGUUGGUGAGUAACAAUGGACCUCAAUUCUGUUCUGAAAAAUUUCAAGGUUCCUAGCUUCAAAUGAAAUUCAGCACAAACAUUCUGUUCCACUCAGCUAAAAAUGGACUAGCAGAACAUUUAGCAUUGUACAAACACUUAAGCAUGCCUUAAGAGCCAACUAGUUACUAGUCUAUUUUGAGUCAUCAACAGAAACUGGACAGAAACAGAAAUUUGUUUUGCUUUUUGCAGGAACACAACACGUUACUACCCAGGAGUCACCUGCAACUCUUUUCUUGAAGAAGUCUUUGCAUACCUGUUGGAACCUGCUCCGUCCUGAUGUUGUCUCACAUAUAACCAAAUCCCAAGUUAUGCAAACUAAUUGAUGACGUGAGACUCAUCAUUGUGCUUUUCAAGUAGGAUAUUUAAUGUAGACUCGCAACUAUGACCGUGGAGUGAAAUAGGUACUUGGAGAACUUGUAAAAUGCACAGGACCUCUUUUGUUUGUGGUAAAACUAUCUGAUAGUAUUUUAUGGAAAUAACAUAUGGACCAGUUGUAAUCUUGACAAGUACCAGAGUCCAGGGAUGUUCCAGUAGGACUUUCUGUUCCUCAGAUCAAACCUCCUUCUGUUAAAACCUCCUAAUAUUGAUGACUUGGUGAAAGAAACGUUGGUAUUCGAUCCAAUUGAUUUCUUACCCCAACUGUUCCUGUUCUUCAGGGAACUGCCGCACCACCAUUACCAUGUUAUCCCAAGAGAGUGAGAAAACCAGUUGUGUGCCUGAAUUUAUAUGUUGUUCAGUUAGUGAGUUGCUAUUCCAGGGCAGAAUAAUCCUUUGCAAUUUACGAGUCUGCAGAAGACCACCCACAACUUUUGUUAGGUUAUAUAGUUUUUGUUAGCCAUGUAAAUGACAAUGUAUAUAUAUUUGGAAAGCUUUUUUAAAGUAGGGUGGAGGAAUGUGAUGUCCUAUCCUUUUAAAUGUUUCAGCACUCACCCUUCCUCAGUACAAAGCCUCACUGUCAUGUUGGUUUCAGUUUUACUGCCAGAAGAACAAUAAUCUUUCCACAGCAGACAGCUGUGUUUCCAUUAGUUCCCUCUGUCUAUAUCCUUCUCUGCUGGGUCCAAGUAUAACAAAACCAUUUGGAACAUCGUCCCAAGAAUUAUGGUGUAUUCUUCAACAUUGACAAUUUUUAAAUAAGGUUGAACUUUUUUUCUAAAACAGAUACUGUUGUUCAAACAGCAGUCAAAUCAGGGAAGUUCUAUGGCCUGUGUUCUGUAGGAGGUCAGACUAGAUGAUGGACAGUUAAGUAGAGAAUAGCUUUUUAGCACCUGGCUGACUAGAUGAUCAUAGUAGCUCCUUCUGGUUUUAUAAUCUAUGAAUUGUUGGAGCCCAAGCUCCUAAACUUCUAGGCUACCCUGCAGAGCUGAGAGAGAGCCUGGAAGUGCCAGGUCCCAAUCUCCUUGCUCAACCAGGGCUUUCAGGCUCCUAGUUCCCCCCCAUAACGUCCUAUACCCAUGUUCGCCACUUUUAUAAGGUUAUGAUAUAUUUGUACAAAGUAUGCCUUGUGAGGUAUCAUUAGAAAACUCAUAAUUUGCUGAAUAUCAUUACCCAAUUGAAAUUUUUGUAACAUCAUUGCAUGUAAGAUUAUGAGAUUUUGCUAUAUGAUUGUUACUGAAAUAUGUUGUAGUUCUGUGUAAUGCACACAAACCAUUUUCUCAGAGACAAAGGUACACUAGCAUGCCAACCAGGUGCUAAAAAGCUAUUCUCUACUUAAUUGUCCAUUCACCAGCACGGGGGGAGUGUAAACAAGAAAUGUACAUUGCAUUGCAGGAAUGUUUCAAACCGCAUGUACACAGAGGACUGUUUGUCUACACUCUGGCGGGGGUAAUUCUCAAAGAAAGGAGGAGGGUAUAAAAUAAGAGACAGGGACUUCCACAUCACCUCUCCUCCUUCUGUCUAGGGAACAAGGCUGGGACUAAAGACUAUGCCGGUGUUUCCCUGUGUAUAAUUCUUGAAUGGCUGAGAGAGCAUUCAUGGUCAUGUGGCUGGGAGUGAUUUUACAUGCUAGUGGCUGUAUGUGAGCAGGCCAGAUGUGGCUGUUCUGGCAGCAAAGCAGUUUUAAAGGCACCCCAGGCUAUAGAGUUAAGGGGAUGCCUCUAUUCUAUAGUCCAGCUUGUACCCUAGGGAAUGUCACACACCCCAACCCUCCUGGCUGACAAGGAGCUGAGAAACUGGAAACACUGGGAGCACCAGCUCCCAAGUUCCCAGGCUUGGCACCCUGGAUUUCUAGUGCUUCCAGGGACCACAGCUCUAGGGCAGCCAGCUAGUGGACUAUCUCAGAUAGGGAACCCUAGUGUUUCCAGUAUCAGAGGGGUAGCCAUGUUAGUCUGAAUCUGUAAAAAGCAACAGAGGGUCCUGUGGCACCUUUA